rnacentral:rRNA from 1 species
AUACGGAGGGUGCAAGCGUUAUCCGGAUUUAUUGGGUUUAAAGGGUGCGUAGGCGGAAUAAUAAGUCAGCGGUGAAAUCCUGCAGCUUAACUGUAGAACUGCCAUUGAUACUGUUAUUCUUGAGUAUAGUUGAGGUGGGCGGAAUGUAUAAUGUAGCGGUGAAAUGCUUAGAUAUUAUACAGAACACCUAUUGCGAAGGCAGCUCACUAAACUAUAACUGACGCUGAUGCACGAAAGCGUGGGGAGCGAACAGGAUUAGAAACCCGAGUAGUCC